rnacentral:rRNA from 1 species
UGUAGGACUGCGAAGUGGGACUGUAGAACAUAGACGAAUGACCUGGGAAGGUCAGCCAAAGGGAGUAAAAGCCUCGUAGUUGAAAUGUUUGAAAGCCCUAGCAGUAUCCUGAGUACGGCGAGACACGCGAAAUCUCGUCGGAAUCUGGGAGGACCAUCUCCCAACCCUAAAUACUCUCUAGUGACCGAUAGUGAACCAGUACCGUGAGGGAAAGGUGAAAAGCACCCCGGGAGGGGAGUGAAAAAGAACCUGAAACCGUGUGCCUACAACAAGUUCGAGCCCGUUAAUGGGUGAGAGCGUGCCUUUUGUAGAAUGAACCGGCGAGUUACGAUAUGAUGCGAGGUUAAGUUGAAGAGACGGAGCCGUAGGGAAACCGAGUCUUAAUAGGGCGAAAUAGUAUCAUGUUGUAGACCCGAAACCAUGUGACCUACCCAUGAGCAGGUUGAAGGUGCGGUAAGACGCACUGGAGGACCGAACCAGGGCACGUUGAAAAGUGCUUGGAUGACUUGUGGGUAGCGGAGAAAUUCCAAACGAACUUGGAGAUAGCUGGUUCUCUCCGAAAUAGCUUUAGGGCUAGCGUCGAUGUUAAGUCUCUUGGAGGUAGAGCACUGUUUGGGUGAGGGGUCCAUCUCGGAUUACCAAUCUCAGAUAAACUCCGAAUGCCAACGAGAUAUCAUCGGCAGUCAGACUGCGAGUGCUAAGAUCCGUAGUCGAAAGGGAAACAGCCCAGACCACCAGCUAAGGUCCCCAAAUAACUGUUAAGUGGAAAAGGAUGUGGGGUUGCACAGACAACUAGGAUGUUAGCUUAGAAGCAGCUAUUCAUUCAAAGAGUGCGUAAUAGCUCACUAGUCGAGUGACCCUGCGCCGAAAAUGUACCGGGGCUAAAACAGUUUACCGAAGCUGUGGAUUACCUUUAGAGGUAAUGGUAGGAGAGCGUUCUAUGUGUGAAGAAGGUGUACCGUGAGGAGCGCUGGAACGCAUAGAAGUGAGAAUGCCGGUAUGAGUAGCGAAAGACAGGUGAGAAUCCUGUCCACCGUAAGACUAAGGAUUCCAGGGGAAGGCUCGUCCGCCCUGGGUUAGUCGGGACCUAAGGAGAGACCGAAAGGUGUAUCCGAUGGACAACAGGUUGAUAUUCCUGUACUAGUAUGUAUAGUGAUGGAGGGACGCAGUAGGCUAACUCAACCAGACGAUUGGAAGAGUCUGGCUAAGCAGUAAGGCGUGAUAUGAGUCAAAUGCUUAUAUCUGUAACGUUGAGCUGUGAAGGGGAGCGAAACUAAGUAGCGAAGUGAGUGAUGUCACACUGCCAAGAAAAGCUUCUAGCGUUAAUUACAUACUACCCGUACCGCAAACCGACACAGGUAGUCGAGGCGAGUAGCCUCAGGUGAUCGAGAGAACUCUCGUUAAGGAACUCGGCAAAAUGGCCCCGUAACUUAGGGAGAAGGGGCGCUGACAGAAAGUCAGCCGCAGUGAAUAGGCCCAAGCAACUGUUUAUCAAAAACACAGCUCUCUGCGAAAUCGAAAGAUGAAGUAUAGGGGGUGACGCCUGCCCGGUGCUGGAAGGUUAAGAGGAGUGCUUAGCGCAAGCGAAGGUAUGAAUUGAAGCCCCAGUAAACGGCGGCCGUAACUAUAACGGUCCUAAGGUAGCGAAAUUCCUUGUCGGGUAAGUUCCGACCCGCACGAAAGGCGUAAUGAUUUGGGCACUGUCUCAACGAGAGACUCGGUGAAAUUUUAGUACCUGUGAAGAUGCAGGUUACCCGCGACAGGACGGAAAGACCCCAUGGAGCUUUACUGCAGUUUGAUAUUGAGUAACUGUGCCACAUGUACAGGAUAGGUAGGAGCCAUAGAAGACGGGACGCCAGUUUCGUUGGAGGCGUUGUUGGGAUACUACCCUUGUGUUAUGGUUACUCUAACCCAGAUAGGAAAUCCCUAUCGGAGACAGUGUCUGAUGGGCAGUUUGACUGGGGCGGUCGCCUCCUAAAGCGUAACGGAGGCGCCCAAAGGUUCCCUCAGACUGGUUGGAAAUCAGUCGUAGAGUGUAAAGGUAUAAGGGAGCUUGACUGCGAGAGCAACACCUCGAGCAGGGACGAAAGUCGGGCUUAGUGAUCCGGUGGUACCGAAUGGAAGGGCCAUCGCUCAACGGAUAAAAGCUACCCUGGGGAUAACAGGCUUAUCUCCCCCAAGAGUUCACAUCGACGGGGAGGUUUGGCACCUCGAUGUCGGCUCGUCGCAUCCUGGGGCUGUAGUCGGUCCCAAGGG